GGGUUGUGAGGUUAAGCGACUAAGCGUACACGGUGGAUGCCCUGGCAGUCAGAGGCGAUGAAGGACGUGCUAAUCUGCGAAAAGCGUCGGUAAGGUGAUAUGAACCGUUAUAACCGGCGAUGUCCGAAUGGGGAAACCCAGUGUGAUUCGUCACACUAUCGUUAACUGAAUACAUAGGUUAACGAGGCGAACCGGGGGAACUGAAACAUCUAAGUACCCCGAGGAAAAGAAAUCAACCGAGAUUCCCCCAGUAGCGGCGAGCGAACGGGGAGCAGCCCAGAGUCUGAAUCAGCUUGUGUGUUAGUGGAACGGUCUGGAAAGUCCGACGGUACAGGGUGAUAGUCCCGUACACCAAAAUGCACAGGCUGUGAACUCGAAGAGUAGGGCGGGACACGUGGUAUCCUGUCUGAAUAUGGGGGACCAUCCUCCAAGGCUAAAUACUCCUGACUGACCGAUAGUGAACCAGUACCGUGAGGGAAAGGCGAAAAGAACCCCGGCGAGGGGAGUGAAAAAGAACCUGAAACCGUGUACGUACAAGCAGUGGGAGCACCUUCGGGUGUGACUGCGUACCUUUUGUAUAAUGGGUCAGCGACUUAUAUUCUGUAGCAAGGUUAACCGUAUAGGGGAGCCGCAGGGAAACCGAGUCUUAACUGGGCGUUAAGUUGCAGGGUAUAGACCCGAAACCCGGUGAUCUAGCCAUGGGCAGGUUGAAGGUUGGGUAACACUAACUGGAGGACCGAACCGACUAAUGUUGAAAAAUUAGCGGAUGACUUGUGGCUGGGGGUGAAAGGCCAAUCAAACCGGGAGAUAGCUGGUUCUCCCCGAAAGCUAUUUAGGUAGCGCCUCGUGAAUUCAUCUUCGGGGGUAGAGCACUGUUUCGGCUAGGGGGUCAUCCCGACUUACCAACCCGAUGCAAACUACGAAUACCGAAGAAUGUUAUCACGGGAGACACACGGCGGGUGCUAACGUCCGUCGUGAAGAGGGAAACAACCCAGACCGCCAGCUAAGGUCCCAAAGUCAUGGUUAAGUGGGAAACGAUGUGGGAAGGCACAGACAGCCAGGAUGUUGGCUUAGAAGCAGCCAUCAUUUAAAGAAAGCGUAAUAGCUCACUGGUCGAGUCGGCCUGCGCGGAAGAUGUAACGGGGCUAAACCAUGCACCGAAGCUGCGGCAGCGACACUAUGUGUUGUUGGGUAGGGGAGCGUUCUGUAAGCCUGCGAAGGUGACCUGUGAGGGUUGCUGGAGGUAUCAGAAGUGCGAAUGCUGACAUAAGUAACGAUAAAGCGGGUGAAAAGCCCGCUCGCCGGAAGACCAAGGGUUCCUGUCCAACGUUAAUCGGGGCAGGGUGAGUCGACCCCUAAGGCGAGGCCGAAAGGCGUAGUCGAUGGGAAACAGGUUAAUAUUCCUGUACUUGGUGUUACUGCGAAGGGGGGACGGAGAAGGCUAUGUUAGCCGGGCGACGGUUGUCCCGGUUUAAGCAUGUAGGCUGAUUGUCCAGGCAAAUCCGGAUAAUCAAGGCUGAGGUGUGAUGACGAGGCACUACGGUGCUGAAGUAACAAAUGCCCUGCUUCCAGGAAAAGCCUCUAAGCAUCAGGUAACAUUAAAUCGUACCCCAAACCGACACAGGUGGUCAGGUAGAGAAUACCAAGGCGCUUGAGAGAACUCGGGUGAAGGAACUAGGCAAAAUGGUGCCGUAACUUCGGGAGAAGGCACGCUGGUGUGUAGGUGAAGUCCCUGCGGAUGGAGCUGAGACCAGUCGAAGAUACCAGCUGGCUGCAACUGUUUAUUAAAAACACAGCACUGUGCAAACACGAAAGUGGACGUAUACGGUGUGACGCCUGCCCGGUGCCGGAAGGUUAAUUGAUGGGGUUAUCCGUAAGGAGAAGCUCUUGAUCGAAGCCCCGGUAAACGGCGGCCGUAACUAUAACGGUCCUAAGGUAGCGAAAUUCCUUGUCGGGUAAGUUCCGACCUGCACGAAUGGCGUAAUGAUGGCCAGGCUGUCUCCACCCGAGACUCAGUGAAAUUGAACUCGCUGUGAAGAUGCAGUGUACCCGCGGCAAGACGGAAAGACCCCGUGAACCUUUACUAUAGCUUGACACUGAACAUUGAGCCUUGAUGUGUAGGAUAGGUGGGAGGCUUUGAAGCGUGGACGCCAGUCUGCGUGGAGCCAACCUUGAAAUACCACCCUUUAAUGUUUGAUGUUCUAACGUUGGCCCCUGACCGGGGUUGCGGACAGUGUCUGGUGGGUAGUUUGACUGGGGCGGUCUCCUCCCAAAGCGUAACGGAGGAGCACGAAGGUUAGCUAAUCCUGGUCGGACAUCAGGAGGUUAGUGCAAUGGCAUAAGCUAGCUUGACUGCGAGCGUGACGGCGCGAGCAGGUGCGAAAGCAGGUCAUAGUGAUCCGGUGGUUCUGAAUGGAAGGGCCAUCGCUCAACGGAUAAAAGGUACUCCGGGGAUAACAGGCUGAUACCGCCCAAGAGUUCAUAUCGACGGCGGUGUUUGGCACCUCGAUGUCGGCUCAUCACAUCCUGGGGCUGAAGUAGGUCCCAAGGGUAUGGCUGUUCGCCAUUUAAAGUGGUACGCGAGCUGGGUUUAGAACGUCGUGAGACAGUUCGGUCCCUAUCUGCCGUGGGCGCUGGAGAAUUGAGGGGGGCUGCUCCUAGUACGAGAGGACCGGAGUGGACGCAUCACUGGUGUUCGGGUUGUCAUGCCAAUGGCACUGCCCGGUAGCUAAAUGCGGAAGAGAUAAGUGCUGAAAGCAUCUAAGCACGAAACUUGCCCCGAGAUGAGUUCUCCCUGAGACUUUAAGUCUCCUGAAGGAACGUUGAAGACGACGACGUUGAUAGGCCGGGUGUGUAAGCGCAGCGAUGCGUUGAGCUAACCGGUACUAAUGAACCGUGAGGCUUAACCUUACAACGCCGAAG
rnacentral:rRNA from 1 species